rnacentral:rRNA from 1 species
UUUGAUCCUGGCUCAGAACGAACGCUGGCGGCAGGCCUAACACAUGCAAGUCGUGCGCGCCUUCGGGUGAGCGGCGGACGGGUGAGUAACACGUGGGAAUGUGCCCUUCUGUUGAGGAUAGCCCCGGGAAACUGGGAGUAAUACUCGAUACGCCCUUAGGGGGAAGGAAGGAUCAGCCCGCGUCUGAUUAGGUAGUUGGUGGGGUAAUGGCCUACCAAGCCUACGAUCAGUAGCUGGUUUUAGAGGAUGAUCAGCCACACUGGGACUGAGACACGGCCCAGACUCCUACGGGAGGCAGCAGUGAGGAAUCUUAGACAAUGGGCGCAAGCCUGAUCUAGCCAUGCCGCGUGAGUGAUGCAAGGCCUUAGGGUCGUAAAGCUCUUUCGCCAGGGAUGAUAAUGACAGUACCUGGUAAAGAAACCCCGGCUAACUCCGUGCCAGCAGCCGCGGUAAUACGGAGGGGGUUAGCGUUGUUCGGAAUUACUGGGCGUAAAGCGCGCGUAGGCGGACUGGAAAGUUGGGGGUGAAAUCCCAGGGCUCAACCCUGGAACUGCCUCCAAAACUAUCAGUCUAGAGUUCGAGAGAGGUGAGUGGAAUUCCGAGUGUAGAGGUGAAAUUCGUAGAUAUUCGGAGGAACACCAGUGGCGAAGGCGGCUCACUGGCUCGAUACUGACG